ACAAGUACCGUGAGGAAAAGUUGAAAAGUACUUUGAAAAGAGAGUGCAAGAGAACGUGAAACCGGUAUAAUGGAAGCAUAUGGAGUUGACGUAUCUGGUAUGUAUUCAGUUGUCUAUAUGGUUGUGUGAGUAGUUGUAGAUUUCAGUAAUGUGUCUCUGUUAUUUAUAACAAUUAUAUAUGCAAUGCACUUACAUACGGAGUGUGCUGAAUCAUGUGAAAACGCUUGUUGAAAUUGAAUAAGAGGACAUGAAAGUGAAACCUUGUUCUGCGUAGGCAAGUUGGGUUUACAUGUUGGAUUUGUUUGGUCUAAACGCUGUAGUAUUGUAUAUAUAUGGUUAUUAAAGGUGUUCACAUGUGAAUUAUCUAUUCUGGCUAUGUAUAUAUAGUGCUAUUGCUCAAAUGAAUAUUCGGUAUACUAGUCAAUGACCCAUUUGACCCGUCUUGAAACACGGACCAAGGAGUGUAAGGUAAUCGCGAGUUAUUGAGCUGUAUAAACUCAAAAGCGUAAUGAAAGUGAGGCACAUAGAUCUGCCAUGGUGUGAGAUUGAAGCGAAUUCGUUUGUUUCUUUCGCAACACCGGCUCAUGUCGAGGACUUGUCCUGAUGUGACGUUUGAGCGAUUGCGUUGCGACCCGAAAGAUGGUGAACUGUGAUUGAACAGGAUGAAGCCAGAGGAAACUCUGGUGGAAGUCCGAAGCGGUUCUGACGUGCAAAUCGAUCGUCUGAUUU
rnacentral:rRNA from 1 species